UACAGAGGGGGCAAGCGUUGUUCGGAAUUACUGGGCGUAAAGGGCGCGUAGGCGGCCUUCUAAGUCGAACGUGAAAUCCCCGGGCUCAACCCGGGAACUGCGUCCGAUACUGGAAGGCUUGAAUCCGGGAGAGGGAUGCGGAAUUCCAGGUGUAGCGGUGAAAUGCGUAGAUAUCUGGAGGAAUACCGGUGGCGAAGGCGGCAUCCUGGACCGGCAUUGACGCUGAGGAGCGAAAGCCAGGGGAGCAAACGGG
rnacentral:rRNA from 1 species